rnacentral:lncRNA from 1 species
GCCCAGAGAAGGGUUGCUCCUGAAUCAUGGCUAUUAGAUCAGGGACGAGGUCAUAGCCAUCUGUAAGAAUUGGAUGUGAUGAUGGUGGUGGCUCUAAUAACUCACCCUUUGGAGCAAAGAAUUUAUAGAUAGGAAUGAAAUCCAUGUGAUAUGGUGAAAAUGGUAAGGUGAAUGCGGUAAAAAAGAAAAAGAAAAAGGAUACACGGACGACUUGGUUUGAAACUAGCACAGCUACCAUUCCCCGGCAACGGCGCC